UACGUAGGGUGCAAGCGUUAAUCGGAAUUACUGGGCGUAAAGCGUGCGCAGGCGGUGAUGUAAGACAGAUGUGAAAUCCCCGGGCUCAACCUGGGAACUGCAUUUGUGACUGCAUCGCUGGAGUGCGGCAGAGGGGGAUGGAAUUCCGCGUGUAGCAGUGAAAUGCGUAGAUAUGCGGAGGAACACCGAUGGCGAGGGCAAUCCCCUGGGCCGAUACUGACGCUGAGGAGCGAAAGCGUGGGGAGCAAACAGG
rnacentral:rRNA from 1 species